CCUACGGGAGGCAGCAGUGGGGAAUAUUGCACAAUGGGGGAAACCCUGAUGCAGCGACGCCGCGUGAGUGAAGAAGUAUCUCGGUAUGUAAAGCUCUAUUAGCAGGGAAGAAAAUGACGGUACUUGAUUAAGAAGCCCCGGCGAACUACGUCCCAGCAGCCGCGGUAAUACGAAGGGGGCAAGCGUUAUCCGGCGUUACUGGGUGUAAAGGGAGCGUAGACGGCAGCACAAGUCUGGAGUGAAAGGCAGGGGCUUAACCCCGGAACUGCUUUUGAAAAUGUGCAGCUAGAGUGCAGGAGAGGUAAGUGGAAUUCCUAGGGUAGCGGUGAAAGGCGUAGAUAUUAGGAGGAACACCAGUGGCGAAGGCGGCUUACUGGACUGUAACUGACGUUGAGGCUCGAAAGCGUGGGGAGCAAACAGGAUUAGAUACCCUUGUAGUC
rnacentral:rRNA from 1 species